GACGAACGCUGGCGGCGUGCCUAACACAUGCAAGUCAACUUGACUGAAGGAGCAAUCUGACAGUAGAGUGGCGCAAGGGUGCGUAACGCGUAAGUAACUUGCCCCAAGGUAAGGAAUAACGUCGAGAAAUCGGCGCUAAUACCUCAUAAUGCAGCGGAUCCGCAUGGAUAUGUUGUUAAAGGUUUACCGCCUUGGGAUAGGCUUGCGUCUGAUUAGCUAGUUGGUGUGGUAACGGCACACCAAGGCUACGAUCAGUAACUGGUCUGAGAGGAUGAUCAGUCACACUGGAACUGAGACACGGUCCAGACUCCUACGGGAGGCAGCAGUGAGGAAUAUUGGGCAAUGCUCGAAAGAGUGACCCAGCAACGCCGCGUGGAGGAUGAAGGUAUUCUAUAUCGUAAACUCCUGUGUAGAGCAGACGAAAGACAGAUUAUUAAUCUGGAUGACUGUAUGCUCAGAGGAA
rnacentral:rRNA from 1 species